rnacentral:rRNA from 1 species
AGAGUUUGAUCCUGGCUCAGGAUGAACGCUAGCGGCAGGCUUAACACAUGCAAGUCGAGGGGCAGCACGAUUGCUUGCAAUUGGUGGCGACCGGCGCACGGGUGCGUAACGCGUAUGCAACUUACCCUUUACAGGGGGAUAGCCCGGGGAAACCCAGAUUAAUAUCCCAUAGUAUAAUAAUAUCGCAUGGUAUAAUUAUUAAAGAUUUAUCGGUAAAGGAUGGGCAUGCGUAAGAUUAGCUAGUUGGUAAGGUAAUGGCUUACCAAGGCUACGAUCUUUAGGGGGCCUGAGAGGGUGAUCCCCCACACUGGUACUGAGACACGGACCAGACUCCUACGGGAGGCAGCAGUGAGGAAUAUUGCGCAAUGGACGAAAGUCUGACGCAGCCAUGCCGCGUGAAGGAUGACGGCGCUACGCGUUGUAAACUUCUUUUAUAUACCAAGAAACCUUCGGACGUGUCCGAAGCUGACGGUAGUAUAUGAAUAAGCACCGGCUAACUCCGUGCCAGCAGCCGCGGUAAUACGGAGGGUGCAAGCGUUAUCCGGAUUUAUUGGGUUUAAAGGGUCCGUAGGCGGAUCAUUAAGUCAGUGGUGAAAGCCUACAGCUCAACUGUAGAACUGCCAUUGAUACUGAUGAUCUUGAGUACGGUUGAAGUAGGCGGAAUAUGACAUGUAGCGGUGAAAUGCUUAGAUAUGUCAUGGAACACCGAUUGCGAAGGCAGCCUACUAAGCCGUUACUGACGCUGAGGGACGAAAGCGUGGGGAGCGAACAGGAUUAGAUACCCUGGUAGUCCACACCGUAAACGAUGAUUACUCGGUAUUGGCUUUAUUGUCAGUGCCCAAGCGAAAGUGA